rnacentral:rRNA from 1 species
ACGAACGCUGGCGGCGUGCCUAACACAUGCAGGUCAACUUGACUGAAGGAGCAAUCUGACAGUAGAGUGGCGCAAGGGUGCGUAACGCGUAAGUAACUUGCCCAAGGUAAGGAAUAACGUCGAGAAAUCGGCGCUAAUACCUCAUAAUGCAGCGGAUCCGCAUGGAUAUGUUGUUAAAGGUUUACCGCCUUGGGAUAGGCUUGCGUCUGAUUAGCUAGUUGGUGUGGUAACGGCACACCAAGGCUACGAUCAGUAACUGGUCUGAGAGGAUGAUCAGUCACACUGGAACUGAGACACGGUCCAGACUCCUACGGGAGGCAGCAGUGAGGAAUAUUGGGCAAUGCUCGAAAGAGUGACCCAGCAACGCCGCGUGGAGGAUGAAGGUAUUCUAUAUCGUAAACUCCUGUGAGAGCAGACGAAAGACAGAUUAUUAAUCUGGAUGACUGUAUGCUCAGAGGAAGCCCCGGCUAACUACGUG